rnacentral:misc_RNA from 1 species
AAGUCGUAACAAGGUUUCCGUAGGUGAACCUGCGGAAGGAUCAUUACCGAAGUCAAGGCCCCUUCGGGGGCUAAACUUCCACCCUGUGUUUACCUUACCAUUGUUGCUUUGGCGGGCCGCCUUAGGCCACCGGCUCUCGAGCUGGUGCGUGCCCGCCAGAGACCCCCAAACCCAAACCAUAUUUAGUGUCGUCUGAAAACAAGUUUAAAUUAUUAAAACUUUCAACAACGGAUCUCUUGGCUCUG